CCAAGCUGCAGGCUUCAUUUCCCUAAAACGGAGGUACUAGAGUUGGUCAAAAACCAACCUUUCUUCUGGAAAAGAAAGCAUAUCCUGUGAUGUAUCCAUAGUUACCACUGAAGGAAAAACCGGGAACUAUAUCUAUCACAGGUUCCAUCUACACCUGCUAUUCUAACCAAGCACCAACUACCGUCUUUAAGAAGAUGAAUAUCCAAAAUAAGAACCAAAUAAAAAGACCAACGAGCCCAUUUUCACCCAGGGCAGAGAUCUGACCUGACGGCUUCCAGUGAAGACAGACAGUCACCUACCUGCCCAGGAACAGAAGCUCCACAAACUGGGACCUUUAUACCACUAGGAGUUCAAACUCAAAGUCAGACCAAACUCACAUGCUGGCACUGUGGAGUGGAUCCCGGCAUUCAGGAGGCAAAGGCCGAAGAGCUGAAGCCAGAGUGCACAAGCAGUAAAGACUGACAGAUACUCGAAGGCAUACAGAUGGUGCAGGCUACCUGAUGACGGUGCAGGGUGCCUGAUGACGGUGCAGGGUGCCUGAUGACGGUGCAGGGUGCCUGAUGACGGUGCAGGGUGCCUGAUGACGGUGCAGGGUGCCUGAUGACGGUGCAGGGUGCCUGAUGACAGUGCAGGCUACCUGAUGACAGUGCAGGCUACCUGAUGACAGUGCAGGCUACCUGAUGACGGCGCAGGGUCUCUCCCAAGUGUGUGCUAAGAAAAUACAAGCUGAAGACCUGGAGGCGGGUCCUGAAAUAAGUGGUUUCAGUCCCCCAGUGGACCAGAGGGGAGCAGAGAAGUGGACUUGAAGCUGGAUCCCCUGUCAAUCCAGGAUGGGUGUAAAAGUGGAAGAGAUGUGUGAGGCCAAAGAAUGGAGUCAAAGAUCGCUGACUUCCGAGAACCGCCAUAUUCUCUACCUUGGGGAAAAAAAGGCACGACACGCUGUCUCAGCUCCAGACAACCUUAGGUGUCUCCAUUUCAGAGACUGUCAGUCCAAGUAAGGCAACUCUAGGAACUAGAGGGGACCAGGCUGACCUCAUUGAAGAAGUUAUGACUGUGUGAGGUUCAGGAAGAAGUGGCGAGAAGAAAGGAGAAGUCGUCUUUGGGGCUUGUUAGCUGAGUAAUUUCAUACUAGGGUAAAAGCUCUUAUUAGGCAUU